rnacentral:lncRNA from 1 species
CGGAGCUGUGCGCACUGCGGGUGCUGCAGGCGCUGGGGAGAGUGUGGAGAGGCUGCGUGGAGCUGUGCGCUCGGGGUGGGGGCUGCACUCCCAAUGAAGCGCGUGAAGGGCAAGCGGUGAUGGGUUCUGCGCCAGUGGGGCUGGGAGCCUGUCGGGGGCUGUACGUGAGGCUGCGCGCAAGUCGCCAUGACGACCAGGAGGUCCGCUAGUCAACGGCUCGUCAACGGCUGCGGGGACAAGUCCGUUGAGGCUGCCAGGCGAGUCAGGCCUUUCUGGACCUCGCCUGACUCGGCUGGGCUGUGCCUGAAAUUGACCCAGCUCCACUAGGAAUUAUGAAGAAACAAGGAGUAAGCCCAAAGCCGCUGCAAUCUUCCCGCCCCAGCCCGUCUAAGCGGCCCUGCGGGGCCUCCCCCGCCCGGGAGCGGGAGGUGGAAAAGUCGGCCCUAGGCGGCGGGAAACUGCCGGGGGGCGCCAGGAGGUCCUCCCCGGGGAGGAUCCCAAAUCUGAAAAAGCGAAAAGGCUUGGAGCUAAAGGUGGUGGCCAAGGCCCUUCUCGGCCCCUUCCAGUUCGUCUGUAAUUCCCUGGCGCAGCUCCGGGAAGAGGUGCACGAACUGCAGGCGCGGUGGUUCCCCAGCAGAACCACUCUGCAUCGCCGUCUUUGUGGCAAUUCUACAUUGGUAAG